rfam:Ancylostoma duodenale strain Zhejiang A_duodenale-1.0_Cont10277.2, whole genome shotgun sequence.
GAAAUCUGAAUAAACUACUCAGGGCCUUUAAUAAGACCCUUUGUACUAAUUUUUGGGAACCUCUGCUCAGGUAGAGGUUA